rnacentral:rRNA from 1 species
ACAAGGUUUCCGUAGGUGAACCUGCGGAAGGAUCAUUGUAGAAUGCUGCACUUAAAAUGACAUGUGAACUUGUAUUGCUGAUCAGGUGUUAGGAGGUCGGGCCUAGUCUUGUGCCUCCUUUUGCCUUGCUAAUUGACAUUUGGGUUGCCUAUAAUUGGUCUCUCAUGUCAUGUUGGCACCAAAACAAACCCCGGCACGGAACGUGCCAAGGAAAACAAUAUAUAAAAAGAGUUGGCCUGUAAUGAUCCGUUUUUGGUUUGCAUUCGGGCCUUCUAUCUUUAAAAUUCAUAAACGACUCUCGGCAACGGAUAUCUCGGCUCACGCAUCGAUGAAGAACGUAGCAAAAUGCGAUACUUGGUGUGAAUUGCAGAAUCCCGUGAACCAUCGAGUUUUUGAACGCAAGUUGCGCCCAAAGCCAUUUGGUUAAGGGCACGUCUGCCUGGGCGUCUCGCAUCAUGUCGAUCCUUUCAACGUCAAAUGACAAACAUGUUGUUGGGAGCGGAGAUUGGUCUCCCAUGCCCAAUGGUGUGGUUGGCUAAAAAGAAACUUCUUUUUCGAUUGAUACAUGACUGUUGGUGGUUGACAAAACCUUCGUUUGGAGUUGUGUAGCAAUUUGUGAGGAAGAAAGUAAAUGAAAGACCCCAAAGCAUUAUCUUUAUGUCAAUGUUUCGAAUGCGACCCCAGGUCAGGCGGGACUACCCGCUGAGUUUAAGCA